UUCAAAAACAUGUUUUUUAGGUUUUUUUAAAAGUUUAGCCUGCUCAAUGAGUAUUUUAAAUAGCCGCCGUAUUUUGACUGUGCAAAGGUAGCAUAAUAAUUAGUUUUUUAAAUGAGGUUUGGAAAGAAAGGUUGGGCGGGGAAUAAACUUUUUUAAUUUGAUUAAUUUUUGAAUUUGUAUUUUUAGUUUAAAUACUAAAAAUUUUAAGAGGGACGAUAAGACCCCAUAGAUUUUAAAAAUUUUUUUUUUUUUUUUUUUGUUGUUGUUUUUUUAAAAAUUAAAAUAUUUUUUUUGUUGGGGUGACAUUUAAAAAUUUAAACUUUAGAUUAUUUUUACAUUUUAUAUGAAUAUUUGAUCCUUAUUUUUGAUUAUAAGAUAAAGAUACCUUAGGGAUAACAGCGUUAUAUAUUUGAAGAGUUCAAAUCGAUAAAUAUGUUUGCGACCUCGAUGUUGGAUUAAAAUUUGUUUGUGGGGUAGGUUUCACAA
rnacentral:rRNA from 1 species